CUUUACAGUGAGCGCUCUGAGAUGGGAGUCAUCCAGCAACCUAGCACCAUAAUCAACGCUUUCAAAGGGAAAUGAAGACGGACAAGUCUGACUGCCAGACGCAGAACUCGCGCUGCACAAGUCCUGAGAUAUUUAACUCACUAGCUUUUCAAGAGAAAGAUGUACAGCAUGAUCAGCAGAUUUCCAUUUCUUAAAGAAACAGCGAAAGCGCCUGAGAGCAUUUUAAGGAAAAGGUCCGUGUACUCAUCUACAGUGUCAGUGCACACAAGCAGCGGAGUCUGCGGCGGCGGCGAGGCGCAGGUACCUGAACUGGCCCACUUCCAUGUACUCAAACUGCUUCAGCACAAACCCGAUGAACACCUGCGCGGGAACAGAGCUCGGUGUCAGUGACGGGAACGCGCCAGGCUUGUCUGCCGGCCAUCUGCGUGAAGUGCCAACCACUCCCUGAGCACGUGACUGGUCUACACUCCAGAACUCACAUCUGCUCUGAAGUCAGACCGCAUAUCUGCAGGAUACUUCCAGAAAUCGCUCUGAAGACAAGUCUGCUACACACUGAGGUGAGAUCGCACUGGAAAAACCCAGCAGGCAGCACCCAAUAUCCCCCCGAGGUCUCAGUCGUUCCAGGCAAUGACAAACCAGGCAGCACGCACUGCCUGGCACUGGCUUACUCUCAAUGCCCAGGUCAGUCCAUCUCUGUCCAGCGCUGGAUGAGAGCAGCCUUGGGCCACAGCCACCUUCUGCCCACCAGAGAGCAUGCACCGAGGGAACCUUGGGCACGAAGCAGGCCCACAGCAGGCGCCCAGCAGGUCGUUAUCUAACUGAAGAUAACGGCUUUCUGUUCUUGUCAUGAAACCACGGCACUGCAUGCUAACAAGCGGGGGAAAGGCACUGGAUGGCACCACCAAGUGCAGCGGGCUGGGUGUGGCGAUUCUUGUGUGACAGACAGAGAAACUUCCCAUGUUGCUGUUCACUCCCAAAAUGCCCGUAACAGCUAGCAUUGGGCUAGGGUGCAAGUCAGGAACUGGGGACUCAAGCCAGGGUCCCUGCGCAGGUGGCAGAAAUUCAAGGACUUGAGCCAUCCUCAGGAAGCUGGAGUCAAGAGCCAGAGGCAGGAACUGAAUCCAGGUACUGCAAUGUGCAAUGUCUCAACCACUAAGCUAAGCACCUGCUCCUGGGCACCAGCUCUGCUGGCUUGAGGCCAGCCAAGGGUGCUGGGCACAUUCGCAGAGCCAGGCUGUCCUCUCAGCACUCAUGUGUCAGAUGGAGAUUUCAGAAUGACAGAAAAGCAACAAAAAUGAUUCCAUUUCUGAAAAAAGGCUCGAGGUGUAAUGACUAUACACAGAACAGUCGAGGCUACCUGCCAGUCCUCUGGGAGAAGGUGCCUACUUCCUUUACAAAGUAGCCCCAAGGAAACAGCGAAUGGGCCAUGGCCACAUGAACACAUCAGUUUCCACCCACAUGAGAACCGGGAAGUGCGGGGGAACAGACCCAGCCUCUGAGGGGGCCUCGCCACAGCACCACCGCAGCGCACUGGUGUGGCCCUGAUGCCAUCAUGCCCACCUACAGCUGCUCCUCCUCGGCUCAGACCAGGGCUCCCGCGUGGGCCCUGCCCCAGACUCCUGUGUCAAAGGGAAGGGAAGGAAGUUCUGCAAUGAGCGUGCUCCCACGGAAGGAAAGGGCCGUACAGGGAUUUUCCUCUCACGGCUUUUGGAAAAGGAAUUAGAAACCUCAGGCAGGGGCAAGCCGAGUUCUGUGUUCCUGUUUCACUUCCAGUUAACCCCAUCACACCCCCUCCCAUGGAGAGAUGGGCGUCUUGAACACGUGUCCUGUGCAGCCUGGGCACGUCAGACCCCACACCAUAAGGCGCUGUCAACAUCUGCAGGUGUAUGAGUCUAGGAGGGAGGGAGAGGACAGUGUGUACCUGAGGACCACAUCUGCAGGUGUAUGAGUCUAGGAGGGAGGAGAGGACAGUGUGUACCUGAGGACCACAUCUGCAGGUGUAGGAGAGUCUAGGAGGGAGGGAGAGGACAGUGUGUACCCUGAGGACCACAUCUGCAGGUGUAUGAGUCUAGGAGGGAGGAGAGGACAGUGUGUACCCUGAGGACCACAUCUGCAGGUGUAUGAGUCUAGGAGGACAGGGAGAGGACACUGUGUACCCUGAGGACCACAUCUGCAGGUGUAGGAGAGUCUAGGAGGGAGGAGAGGACAGUGUGUACCCUGAGGACCACAUCUGCAGGUGUAUGAGUCUAGGAGGGAGGAGAGGACAGUGUGUACCCUAAGGACCACAUCUGCAGGUGUAGGAGAGUCUAGGAGGGAGGAGAGGACAGUGUGUACCCUGAGGACCACAUCUGCAGGUGUAUGAGUCUAGGAGGGAGGAGAGGACAGUGUGUACCCUGAGGACCACAGCUGCAGGUGUAUGAGUCUAGGAGGGAGGAGAGGACAGUGUGUACCCUGAGGACCACAUCUGCAGGUGUAGGAGAGUCUAGGAGGGAGGAGAGGACAGUGUGUACCUGAGGACCACAUCUGCAGGUGUAGGAGAGUCUAGGAGGGAGGAGAGGACAGUGUGUACCCUGAGGACCACAUCUGCAGGUGUAUGAGUCUAGGAGGGAGGAGAGGACAGUGUGUACCCUGAGGACCACAUCUGCAGGUGUAGGAGUCUAGGAGGGAGGAGAGGACAGUGUGUACCUGAGGACCACAUCUGCAGGUGUAUGAGUCUAGGAGGGAGGAGAGGACAGUGUGUACCUGAGGACCACAUCUGCAGGUGUAUGAGUCUAGGAGGGAGGAGAGGACAGUGUGUACCCUGAGGACCACAUCUGCAGGUGUAGGAGUCUAGGAGGGAGGAGAGGACAGUGUGUACCUGAGGACCACAUCUGCAGGUGUAUGAGUCUAGGACAGGGAGAGGACAGUGUGUACCCUGAGGACCACAUCUGCAGGUGUAUGAGUCUAGGAGGGAGGGGAGGACAGUGUGUACCUGAGGACCACAUCUGCAGGUGUAUGAGUCUAGGAGGGAGGAGAGGACAGUGUGUACCUGAGGACCACAUCUGCAGGUGUAUGAGUCUAGGACAGGGAGAGGACAGUGUGUACCCUGAGGACCACAUCUGCAGGUGUAGGAGAGUCUAGGAGGGAGGAGAGGACAGUGUGUACCUGAGGACCACAUCUGCAGGUGUAUGAGUCUAGGACAGGGAGAGGACAGUGUGUACCCUGAGGACCACAUCUGCAGGUGUAGGAGAGUCUAGGAGGGAGGAGAGGACAGUGUGUACCUGAGGACCACAUCUGCAGGUGUAUGAGUCUAGGACAGGGAGAGGACAGUGUGUACCCUGAGGACCACAUCUGCAGGUGUAGGAGAGUCUAGGAGGGAGGGAGAGGACAGUGUUUCUACCUGUGGAAAUUCCCUAACUACACAGAGAAGCAGCUCAGGGUCACAGCUCAUUUCAUGGCAACUCUGUUGCAAUGCACUUAAUGCAUGGCUCUUGUUUGAAAGGACUUUGCACUGGGGAUGGACAGGGUCCGCCAGAACCUCCAGCCACAGCCACCACAGCAGAAGGUGAGGUGUCUGGGAGGAACUUCCUGCGUGCCGCCACACAGCUCCCACCUGGAGUCUCGGGCCUUUGGGGAGAGGUGAGCUAACUGCCUGGAUUGCUGGCGGCUGCUAACCACAGGUGACCAACUGCAUUUGAAAGCACAUCACCAAAACAACGACUCUGCAUUCAGCUCACAGGACUGGCGGGGAGGGAAAGUCCAAGGUGCUAAAGGCCAACCCUCCCAGGGCACAGCUCAGCCUGGGCGGAGGCCUCCCUGUUGCACGCCAGGCUUUCUGCAGCAGUAACAGCAUCCAGUAGGUAAGAGGCAGCAGAGGGGGGAGAGGGGGAAGGCAAAUGCCGCAUUUCUCUAACGUCUUUUGACAGUCAUUUUCACUGAAUUAGGAAUAGGUAUGGUGAAGAAAAGAUUACGUGACAAACCUGAUCUGAAUCCAGAAGACAGUAAUUAACUCGCAGCUGAAC